GGAGAAGUACUCAAGUGGCUGAAGAGGCGCCCCUGCUAAGGGUGUAGGUCGGGAAACUGGCGCGAGGGUUCAAAUCCCUCCUUCUCCA
rfam:Vagococcus penaei strain CD276, complete genome.